rnacentral:rRNA from 1 species
GUAGGGAAUCUUCCACAAUGGACGAAAGUCUGAUGGAGCAACGCCGCGUGAGUGAAGAAGGGUUUCGGCUCGUAAAACUCUGUUGUUAAAGAAGAACAUAUCUGAGAGUAACUGUUCAGGUAUUGACGGUAUUUAACCAGAAAGCCACGGCUAGCUACGUGCCAG